rnacentral:rRNA from 1 species
GGGGAAUUUUCCGCAAUGGGCGCAAGCCUGACGGAGCAAUACCGCGUGGGGGAGGAAGGCCCUUGGGUUGUAAACUCCUUUUGUCAGGGAAGAACACAAUGACGGUACCUGANNNNNNAGCCUCGGCUAACUCCGUGCCAGCAGCCGCGGUAAGACGGAGGAGGCAAGCGUUAUCCGGAAUUAUUGGGCGUAAAGCGUCCGUAGGUGGCCCCUCAAGUCCGCUGUUAAAGCCCAGGGCUCAACCCUGGAGAAGCAGUGGAAACUGGAGGGCUAGAGUGCGGUAGGGGUAGAGGGAAUUCCCGGUGUAGCGGUGAAAUGCGUAGAGAUCGGGAAGAACACCAGUGGCGAAAGCGCUCUGCUGGACCGCAACUGACACUGAGGGACGAAAGCUAGGGGAGCGAAUGGGAUUAGAUACCCCAGUAGUC